rnacentral:rRNA from 1 species
ACGUAGGGUGCGAGCGUUAAUCGGAAUUACUGGGCGUAAAGCGUGCGCAGGCGGAUUGUUAAGCAAGACGUGAAAUCCCCGGGCUUAACCUGGGAAUGGCGUUUUGAACUGGCAGUCUAGAGUGCGUCAGAGGGGGGUGGAAUUCCACGUGUAGCAGUGAAAUGCGUAGAGAUGUGGAGGAACACCGAUGGCGAAGGCAGCCCCCUGGGAUGACACUGACGCUAAGACGCGACAGCACGGGGAGCGAACGG